UUGGUCGAGCGUGUGGAUGCUCU
rnacentral:snRNA from 1 species